ensembl:Mt_tRNA
ACUUUCUUAGUAUAACCAAUACAAUUGACUUCCAAUCAAUAAAUUCUGACUAUGCAACGGAAGAAAGUA